CUAGAACUACAAAGUUCUAGAUUUCAAACAUGGGCUUAUACUUAGAAAUUUUACUGAGCUUUGAACCUUAGUAUAAUGAUGCACAUAGAUCAGGAUAAUUAUUUAACAAUUCUUGCAAAACCAAAUUACUAGAUAAUCCAAGUGCAACCCUAUGCAGCAAGGCACCAGCCACACGAUGUCACUGCCUAUGUUCUUCUGCUGUUGUUUUGAUGUUCCUGACCCAGGGCUUCUGUUUUGUAACAACUACUUUGUUCUGAGUCUCAGCAAAUCCAGGUUAUCCUCUAAGCUUAACUAAAUAACAUAAGAAUAAUUAUAAGAAUGUCAAGAAUACAGAGACAGCUGUGUUAUUCCUAGAAUACUGGGAGAUCAAGCUACACCAUUCAGGACAUCCAUCUUCACACAACCGAACUUCCCUCUGUUUCUGCCUACAGAUCAGGAUGUAAAUCUCUCAACCACUGCUCCAGCACUUGCCUGCAUGCUGCCAUGUUCCCCACCUGACAAUGGACUAAACUCUGAAAGUGUAAGCAAGCCCCAAUGAAUUGCUUUCUUUUAUGAACUGAAUUGGUCAUGGUGACUCUUCCUUCACAGCAGCAGAACAGUGACCAAGACAGAAGUUGGUGCUGGGAGUUGGAUAUUGUGGCAAAAGCAUUGACCACGCUUAUUGUAAUGGAAAUGUAGAUUUGGGGAAUCUGGAUUAGGAAAGCAGCUGAAUGCUUUAAUUGAGACUUAAUGAGCCAUCCUAGUAGGAGCAUUGAGGAGAGUAGUGCUGAAAGCAAUGUGGGCCUAGCUCAAGAGGUUUCAAGGUGAAGAGCAUUAGUAAGUGUCCUAGAGACUACUGUG
rnacentral:lncRNA from 1 species